CACGGUUCCGCAAAUGCUGCUAACUAAAACGUUAUGGCAUAAUAUUAUUGCCCAAAAGCUACAGGAUAUCCGCAUUCUCCCUCAGCUUUGCUCGCUUGCGGAUGAAUAAGGGAAAAUCCUUGGCCUUUGCGGACAAUCCAAAGGGACCAGACAUUCCAUAAAUGCAAACAGCGCACGGAAUUCACAGCGGGGAUAGCCCAGCCACGUGGCCAUGGACAUGGCGUCGUCGAAGCGACAAAAAGGCCACGGCCAGCUGCUGCCAAAGAUGGAAUGCACCGAGCAAAGCAACAACAAGAUUAUCGACCGGUGGAAGGAGUAGGGAUAUAAUAUGCAAAAUUUUCUGCAAACUGAAGGAAAUUUCACUCGAUUUUAAUAAGCAACAAGGAAAUGCAUCGAUGGACUCUGCUCUCAAGAGCUCAAGCAGCAGCAGUGGCAACAUCAACAAGUUGCCCCAGUUCCGUGCCACACAGCAGUCAGCGUUGGGCCCUAAGACCUUGCCCAAAAUGCCGGCGUCUAAUUAUAAAACACAAAUCGAAGGAAAAAUGAAAACAAAACACAACACAACACAA